ACUGCCCCGUCCUCUGGCAAUCACACAGAUCCAGCAUGUGCAUGGCACACUUUCAUAGGAGAGAGAAAAUGACCUUCCCAAUGCAUAGCAGAACUGCCUCAAAGUGGCUUCUUUGUUGUUCCUAGGAGUUUCACAGCU
rnacentral:snoRNA from 1 species